GGGAAUGUGGCUUAGUGGUAGAGUGCUUGCCUAGCAUGCAAGCACUAGGUUCAAUUCCUUGGUACCA
rnacentral:tRNA from 1 species